rnacentral:lncRNA from 1 species
UGAAAUGUGUAUUAAAAAUAUCAAAUGCGGAAGCGAAGUCAAAAAAAUUCGAUUAAUAUCCCUUACACUAAAACAAAAAACGUGCUCACAAAAUAUAAAAGAUCAAACUAACUAAAGGAAAAACUUGAAAGUAAAAGCUACGAAUAUGACUAUGGAGUCUUUAGGCGUCCCCUUCGUCGUCCUCCUGCGGAAUGGGCUCGGAACAAUGUCUUCCU